GAACACCAUAUUAAGUAGCUGUUGAACUGCUAUAAGAAAAGUUAUGUUUUGCAAAGAGAGGAAAUGAAAUUGUCUUUGUAUUUGCAUUUCUUUAGAGCUCGGUCCGAGGGGUUUAUUCACAGAGAAUCAGGAGACAGUCUUCAAAAUGACCAGUAAACUGAAGAAGCUGGGCUGGGAGCAUCUGUAUCUUCCCAUUUGAAAACCUCGCCUGUUGCUUGCUCCUACUGAAACCUGGAAAUACCGGGCCAGCAACGUGCAAGGCAGCCUGCACACCUCAACAGUCCUUCUGCUGGUCCUUACACCUACAACCAGCUUGAAAAGUUACUCAGCAGUGAAAAUCAAGGUAGGCUCGCAUGCAAGUUAAAUCUUCUGAUAAAGAGAGGUAAUGUUAUUUGGUUUUGGGCAAAUAGGGCAAUAAAAGC
rnacentral:lncRNA from 1 species